ACAUCCAUAUGCUGCGGGAGAGGCCCAAGAAAUAGCAAAAAGACAAAAAAAAAAAAAUAAUCUCCAAUUAGAAUCAAGAUUGCUGGGGGGGGGGGGGGGGGGGGGGGGAGCUGUCUGGGUGACUACAAUACACAAAGGAAAAAAGAAAACAUGCGGAACCCAGCCUUCAAAAAUACAGCUUCCUAAAUUGGAACAAGAAAGUGAGGAGAAGAAAUACUGAGACCUCUAAGUAAAUCACAUAUGGGGGCGGGGAAGACAUGUGCUGUUUUGCCUCUCUCCCCACCUCCUCCAAAGGAGUGGAACUAAGGCGACUUGAUGGAGCGCCUUAGAAUUUUUGAAAAGAAAAGAAAAAAAGGGGGUGGGGGAGGAAAACACUGAAUUCAAGUCUUUUGCGCGCCACAAAUACCUAAAAAGGUUCUGAACCACUAGCUCAACGUGGAGAAGAGAAACAGCCUCUCUGCAGUCUGGCAGCCUUGCCCGAUCUCCAAAGGGCUCCAGAUACGCACUGCACCCUGCCGCGGCCGGAUAACUCAGCUAAGAUUUCAGUAGUGAAGACAGACACUCCGCAGCCUCCUCCUGCCCAAGAAGCGCUAGGCCCAUCGCCACAGAGCCUGAGCCUGGGCACCAGAGCUCCAGAGGCACAGAGCAGCAGCACCUGGACUCUUGGGCAGGAAGUGGCUACUCUGACUCUGGGCUCAUCAUGAAAGGAGUUCAUCUUCUUGGCUCUCCUCCAGAGGUCUGUGGCAGCAGGCAGAAAUUGGGCGGUGUGGAAGGAGACACAACAGAAGCCCAGAAGCCAGAGAUGGUUCAUCACCAGGUGUUGGACAAGAAAGGACCUGCAGAGAGCUGCUUCCUGGAGGACUCAGCCUGAAUGUCUUCUUACACAUCUCAGUUACUUAACACAUUGAUGCCCCUAGUGCCAACUUAAAUUUGAUUCUACUAACAGUCAAGCUUUAAGAAGAAAACGGAUACCCAGCCAAAAUGUGGUUGAACUUGACAUCUCUGGAGCCCUGGGUGCUGCUGACCACCUGCCUACUUUGGCUGUUAUGAGCCCCUUCUCUCCCACUUCUUCCUCUUACUCA
rnacentral:lncRNA from 1 species